rnacentral:rRNA from 1 species
CACGUAGGGCGCAAGCGUUGUCCGGAAUUAUUGGGCGUAAAGAGCUCGUAGGCGGUCUGUUGCGUCCGCUGUGAAAACUCGGGGCUUAACCCCCGAGCCUGCAGUGGAUACGGGCAGACUAGAGGUAGGUAGGGGAGAAUGGAAUUCCCGGUGUAGCGGUGAAAUGCGCAGAUAUCGGGAAGAACACCAGUGGCGAAAGCGCUCUACUGGGCCAUAACUGACACUGAGGGACGAAAGCUAGGGGAGCGAAAGGG